rnacentral:lncRNA from 1 species
GAUGACGCUGUUCCGGCACCUCCCAUCCUGACUCCAAACCCUUUUCAGCUACCUCCCCUGCUUCCUCCAAACCCCAUUCAGCCUCCUCCCUUGCUUCCUCCCAACCCUUUUCAGCCACCUCCCCUGCUUCCUCCAAACCCCUUUCAGCCUCCUCCCUUGCUUCCUCCCAACCCUUUUCAGCCACCUCCCCUGCUUCCUCCAAACCCCUUUCAGCCUCCUCCCUUGCUUCCUCCCAACCCUUUUCAGCCACCUCCCCUGCUUCCUCCAAACCCCUUUCAGCCUCCUCCCUUGCUUCCUCCCAACCCUUUUCAGCCGCCACCAGCUCCACUUAUUCCAAACCCGUUUCAGCCUCCUCCAGCUCCACUUAUUCCAAACCCGUUUCAGCCUCCCCCGGCUCCACUUUUUCCUCCAAACCCGUUUCAGCCUCCCCCGGCUCCACUUUUUCCUCCAAACCCGUUUCAGCCUCCUCCAGCUCCACUUAUUCCAAACCCGUUUCAGC